AAUAAACAAGGCUAAACCUAUCGUAAGGUAGGGGCGGAAAGUCGCGGAUCCAAGAAUGGAAAGCCGGACUGCCAAC
rnacentral:ncRNA from 1 species